rnacentral:rRNA from 1 species
CUGAAUCAGUGUGUGUGUUAGUGGAAGCGUCUGGAAAGGCGCGCGAUACAGGGUGACAGCCCCGUACACAAAAAUGCACAUACUGUGAGCUCGAUGAGUAGGGCGGGACACGUGGUAUCCUGUCUGAAUAUGGGGGGACCAUCCUCCAAGGCUAAAUACUCCUGACUGACCGAUAGUGAACCAGUACCGUGAGGGAAAGGCGAAAAGAACCCCGGCGAGGGGAGUGAAAAAGAACCUGAAACCGUGUACGUACAAGCAGUGGGAGCACGCUUCGGCGUGUGACUGCGUACCUUUUGUAUAAUGGGUCAGCGACUUAUAUUCUGUAGCAAGGUUAACCGAAUAGGGGAGCCGAAGGGAAACCGAGUCUUAACUGGGCGUUAAGUUGCAGGGUAUAGACCCGAAACCCGGUGAUCUAGCCAUGGGCAGGUUGAAGGUUGGGUAACACUAACUGGAGGACCGAACCGACUAAUGUUGAAAAAUUAGCGGAUGACUUGUGGCUGGGGGUGAAAGGCCAAUCAAACCGGGAGAUAGCUGGUUCUCCCCGAAAGCUAUUUAGGUAGCGCCUCGUGAAUUCAUCUCCGGGGGUAGAGCACUGUUUCGGCAAGGGGGUCAUCCCGACUUACCAACCCGAUGCAAACUGCGAAUACCGGAGAAUGUUAUCACGGGAGACACACGGCGGGUGCUAACGUCCGUCGUGAAGAGGGAAACAACCCAGACCGCCAGCUAAGGUCCCAAAGUCAUGGUUAAGUGGGAAACGAUGUGGGAAGGCCCAGACAGCCAGGAUGUUGGCUUAGAAGCAGCCAUCAUUUAAAGAAAGCGUAAUAGCUCACUGGUCGAGUCGGCCUGCGCGGAAGAUGUAACGGGGCUAAACCAUGCACCGAAGCUGCGGCAGCGACACUAUGUGUUGUUGGGUAGGGGAGCGU